GGAAGUAAACGUCGUAACAAGGUCUCCGUUGGUGAACCAGCGGAGGGAUCAUUACCGAGUUUUUACAGCUCCCCCAAAAACCCCUGUGCACUCAUACCCCGACUGUUGCUUCGGCGGGCUGGUGGUCCUCGCCCGCCGGGGGACUCGGGCUCCUGUAUUGUCUGGCUUUUUUGCGCGUCUGAGUGGUGGGAAGACAACAACGAAUCAAAACUUUCAACAACGGAUCUCUUGGUUCUGGCAUCGAUGAAGAACGCGGC
rnacentral:misc_RNA from 1 species